GACGAACGCUGGCGGCGUGCUUAACACAUGCAAGUCGAACGGUGACCCAGGGCUUGCCCUGGUGAUCAGUGGCGAACGGUGAGUAACACGUGGGCAACCUGCCCCUGACUUCGGGAUAACUCCUCGAAAGAGGAGCUAAUACCGGAUACGACCACUUCGGACAUCCGAUGGUGGUGGAAAGUUUUUCGGUCAGGGAUGGGCCCGCGGCCUAUCAGCUAGUUGGUGGGGUAAUGGCCUACCAAGGCGACGACGGGUAGCCGGCCUGAGAGGGCGACCGGCCACACUGGGACUGAGACACGGCCCAGACUCCUACGGGAGGCAGCAGUGGGGAAUAUUGCGCAAUGGGCGAAAGCCUGACGCAGCGACGCCGCGUGAGGGAUGAAGGCCUCGGUUGUAAACCUCUUCAGCAGGGACGAAGCGAAAGUGACGGUACCUGCAGAAGAAGCACCGGCUAACUACGUGCCAGCAGCCGCGGUAAU
rnacentral:rRNA from 1 species